rnacentral:rRNA from 1 species
UGUGAACUCGAAGAGUAGGGCGGGACACGUGGUAUCCUGUCUGAAUAUGGGGGGACCAUCCUCCAAGGCUAAAUACUCCUGACUGACCGAUAGUGAACCAGUACCGUGAGGGAAAGGCGAAAAGAACCCCGGCGAGGGGAGUGAAAAAGAACCUGAAACCGUGUACGUACAAGCAGUGGGAGCACCUUCGGGUGUGACUGCGUACCUUUUGUAUAAUGGGUCAGCGACUUAUAUUCUGUAGCAAGGUUAACCGUAUAGGGGAGCCGCAGGGAAACCGAGUCUUAACUGGGCGUUAAGUUGCAGGGUAUAGACCCGAAACCCGGUGAUCUAGCCAUGGGCAGGUUGAAGGUUGGGUAACACUAACUGGAGGACCGAACCGACUAAUGUUGAAAAAUUAGCGGAUGACUUGUGGCUGGGGGUGAAAGGCCAAUCAAACCGGGAGAUAGCUGGUUCUCCCCGAAAGCUAUUUAGGUAGCGCCUCGUGAACUCAUCUUCGGGGGUAGAGCACUGUUUCGGCUAGGGGGUCAUCCCGACUUACCAACCCGAUGCAAACUACGAAUACCGAAGAAUGUUAUCACGGGAGACACACGGCGGGUGCUAACGUCCGUCGUGAAGAGGGAAACAACCCAGACCGCCAGCUAAGGUCCCAAAGUCAUGGUUAAGUGGGAAACGAUGUGGGAAGGCACAGACAGCCAGGAUGUUGGCUUAGAAGCAGCCAUCAUUUAAAGAAAGCGUAAUAGCUCACUGGUCGAGUCGGCCUGCGCGGAAGAUGUAACGGGGCUAAACCAUGCACCGAAGCUGCGGCAGCGACACUAUGUGUUGUUGGGUAGGGGAGCGUUCUGUAAGCCUGCGAAGGUGACCUGUGAGGGUUGCUGGAGGUAUCAGAAGUGCGAAUGCUGACAUAAGUAACGAUAAAGCGGGUGAAAAGCCCGCUCGCCGGAAGACCAAGGGUUCCUGUCCAACGUUAAUCGGGGCAGGGUGAGUCGACCCCUAAGGCGAGGCCGAAAGGCGUAGUCGAUGGGAAACAGGUUAAUAUUCCUGUACUUGGUGUUACUGCGAAGGGGGGACGGAGAAGGCUAUGUUAGCCGGGCGACGGUUGUCCCGGUUUAAGCAUGUAGGCUGGUUGUCCAGGCAAAUCCGGAUAAUCAAGGCUGAGGUGUGAUGACGAGGCACUACGGUGCUGAAGUAACAAAUGCCCUGCUUCCAGGAAAAGCCUCUAAGCAUCAGGUAACAUUAAAUCGUACCCCAAACCGACACAGGUGGUCAGGUAGAGAAUACCAAGGCGCUUGAGAGAACUCGGGUGAAGGAACUAGGCAAAAUGGUGCCGUAACUUCGGGAGAAGGCACGCUGGUGUGUAGGUGAAGUCCCUGCGGAUGGAGCUGAGACCAGUCGAAGAUACCAGCUGGCUGCAACUGUUUAUUAAAAACACAGCACUGUGCAAACACGAAAGUGGACGUAUACGGUGUGACGCCUGCCCGGUGCCGGAAGGUUAAUUGAUGGGGUUAUCCGUAAGGAGAAGCUCUUGAUCGAAGCCCCGGUAAACGGCGGCCGUAACUAUAACGGUCCUAAGGUAGCGAAAUUCCUUGUCGGGUAAGUUCCGACCUGCACGAAUGGCGUAAUGAUGGCCAGGCUGUCUCCACCCGAGACUCAGUGAAAUUGAACUCGCUGUGAAGAUGCAGUGUACCCGCGGCAAGACGGAAAGACCCCGUGAACCUUUACUAUAGCUUGACACUGAACAUUGAGCCUUGAUGUGUAGGAUAGGUGGGAGGCUUUGAAGCGUGGACGCCAGUCUGCGUGGAGCCAACCUUGAAAUACCACCCUUUAAUGUUUGAUGUUCUAACGUUGGCCCCUGACCGGGGUUGCGGACAGUGUCUGGUGGGUAGUUUGACUGGGGCGGUCUCCUCCCAAAGCGUAACGGAGGAGCACGAAGGUUAGCUAAUCCUGGUCGGACAUCAGGAGGUUAGUGCAAUGGCAUAAGCUAGCUUGACUGCGAGCGUGACGGCGCGAGCAGGUGCGAAAGCAGGUCAUAGUGAUCCGGUGGUUCUGAAUGGAAGGGCCAUCGCUCAACGGAUAAAAGGUACUCCGGGGAUAACAGGCUGAUACCGCCCAAGAGUUCAUAUCGACGGCGGUGUUUGGCACCUCGAUGUCGGCUCAUCACAUCCUGGGGCUGAAGUAGGUCCCAAGGGUAUGGCUGUUCGCCAUUUAAAGUGGUACGCGAGCUGGGUUUAGAACGUCGUGAGACAGUUCGGUCCCUAUCUGCCGUGGGCGCUGGAGAAUUGAGGGGGGCUGCUCCUAGUACGAGAGGACCGGAGUGGACGCAUCACUGGUGUUCGGGUUGUCAUGCCAAUGGCACUGCCCGGUAGCUAAAUGCGGAAGAGAUAAGUGCUGAAAGCAUCUAAGCACGAAACUUGCCCCGAGAUGAGUUCUCCCUGAGACUUU